GCUCCCGAUCUCAUCUCUCCGCUAGCUCCAAUUUUUUCUCUAACUCCCCCCUCCUUGUCCGCCGCUGCGGUCGCGGUCGUGGCCGUCAGCGGUAGGAGCCAGUCUCAUCGAGAAAUUCUUCACUCCUCCCUCUUAUCUGCACAAAUCUUGAUCGCGUCUGUCCAUGGGCGAGCUUGGCGGCGGCGUAGAAGGAGAUUUCUUAAGCAGCUGUCGUUGGUGUGCGCGUCCGUUCAUGGGGGAGCUUGCCUGCGUUGCCAGGGGUGGUCGUACUACAGUCUGCCAACGUACGCCGGCGACGUACUGGGCCUAGGCGUGGUGUGCAAGUGCAGGUGGAUUUUGGUCGUCCCGUACGACUUUGCCAUGGCGGAUCCGCUGGCCGCCGGGAACGCCACCGAUGGGGACGCCAUGAGGGCGGGUUUCUCGGUGCGACGGAAGUCUGACGCCGGCUGGUGCAGCGAGUGGAGGCCUCCGGAGGCUUCUGCUCCGACCCUCAGGCUAGCGGGUCGUGUCCUACUUCUUCGUCAGGUUCAGGUAACCAAUAGUUGAUCUGAGAGGUAAUUUGUUGGUCAACGUUGUUUGAUUGAUCUACACAACCUUGAGAUGUGCGACAGGCGGGAUGAGCGCGAGCGGCCGCGGGACAUGGACUCAAGCCAACACAGGUUCAUGGCGGAGCAGCUCACCUGUUGGUCUCCACUUCGUAGUCGGCAGCAGUUGCCUCACCAAUUGAUGUGGUCUUUUUAUUCCUUCCCAGAUCCAUUUUUUUCACACAGACCUCAAUAGAAGUUGGGGAUCAAGAAAUUGAUCGCUUCGAAGUACUGAGCAUGCCUAUUCUUUCUUAUGCAUGAGGGUAUGAAACAUGUUUUUGUUGUGAAUUCUUGCAGCACAGGGGAUUUUUUGUGGUCAAGUGGUCAACCCAUCAGCCAAUGCCGUCAAGAUCUUCAUUGAGUGUGCUUGUGCUUUUUUUGGAAGAUGCCAGGCAGUAGCGCUGCUUUAGUAUAUUAAGAGAAGAUUUACAAAAUCUGAAGAUGUCAAGUAGUUCCUGUGAAAUGAUUUUGGGAAUGGGGUGGUUCAUCGGGAUAAUUAGUGGUAGCACCUCAUGCUGACAGGGAGUGCACGAUCCAGGGUGGGUGCAGAUGAGCUCGGGAGCAGAAACGUCGCACUCCUGACUGACCCAACUUGCCAUUUCAUUCUCAUGCUAUUAGAUCGGGUGCUCAUGCACAACGGUUACUUCUCUUAAGGAUUAUCAGAUAGAACCGGAUGCCACCACUUUGCAGUGUCCGAUUUAUGUUGGUGAGCUGGCCCAUGUUAUUCAUGGAAUGGCUUGAUGUGAAAGGAAAUGGGCCCAUAGGUCGAGAAGAGAAGCUUUCAUUGAGCAUAAGUGUGGUGUUGUUGGAAUUUUUUAUAUUAGUUAGAUAUUCAGAUAGCCUUUGUUUCGAGGUUAGAUAGUCUUAUUAUGAUAAUCAAGUAUGAAAUUAUGACAUUCUAUGAGGACUACGUUUAGGCACAUAAAUUAUGAAGCAAUUAUUCCUUCUUGAGAGACGCUGUUUUUCCAGAAAAAUACUACUAUGAGUUCAGAAUUUUAGCAAAACAUUCAAGUUGUCAUCUUGAGAUUAGUUGUUAACUAGCAUUUGAAGGCAUGUGACAAACAACGAGACUAAUGGGUAUGUAUUGUGCUUUUAUAUAAAAAUAUACAAUAUCAUCUGUUGUGCA